rnacentral:rRNA from 1 species
GGUGAACACGGAGCUUGCUCUGUGGGAUCAGUGGCGAACGGGUGAGUAACACGUGAGCAACCUGCCCCUGACUCUGGGAUAAGCGCUGGAAACGGCGUCUAAUACUGGAUACGAGUAGCGACCGCAUGGUCAGUUACUGGAAAGAUUUAUUGGUUGGGGAUGGGCUCGCGGCCUAUCAGCUUGUUGGUGAGGUAAUGGCUCACCAAGGCGUCGACGGGUAGCCGGCCUGAGAGGGUGACCGGCCACACUGGGACUGAGACACGGCCCAGACUCCUACGGGAGGCAGCAGUGGGGAAUAUUGCACAAUGGGCGCAAGCCUGAUGCAGCAACGCCGCGUGAGGGAUGACGGCCUUCGGGUUGUAAACCUCUUUUAGCAGGGAAGAAGCGAAAGUGACGGUACCUGCAGAAAAAGCGCCGGCUAACUACGUGCCAGCAGCCGCGGUAAUACGUAGGGCGCAAGCGUUAUCCGGAAUUAUUGGGCGUAAAGAGCUCGUAGGCGGUUUGUCGCGUCUGCUGUGAAAUCCGGAGGCUCAACCUCCGGCCUGCAGUGGGUACGGGCAGACUAGAGUGCGGUAGGGGAGAUUGGAAUUCCUGGUGUAGCGGUGGAAUGCGCAGAUAUCAGGAGGAACACCGAUGGCGAAGGCAGAUCUCUGGGCCGUAACUGACGCUGAGGAGCGAAAGGGUGGGGAGCAAACAGGCUUAGAUACCCUGGUAGUCCACCCCGUAAACGUUGGGAACUAGUUGUGGGGUCCAUUCCACGGAUUCCGUGACGCAGCUAACGCAUUAAGUUCCCCGCCUGGGGAGUACGGCCGCAAGGCUAAAACUCAAAGGAAUUGACGGGGACCCGCACAAGCGGCGGAGCAUGCGGAUUAAUUCGAUGCAACGCGAAGAACCUUACCAAGGCUUGACAUAUACGAGAACGGGCCAGAAAUGGUCAACUCUUUGGACACUCGUAAACAGGUGGUGCAUGGUUGUCGUCAGCUCGUGUCGUGAGAUGUUGGGUUAAGUCCCGCAACGAGCGCAACCCUCGUUCUAUGUUGCCAGCACGUAAUGGUGGGAACUCAUGGG